GCAUAUCAAUAAGCGGAGGAAAAGAACCAACAGGUAUUGCCCUAGUAACGGCGAGUGAAGCGGCAACAGCUCAAAUUUGAAAUCUGGCCUCGGCCCGAGUUGUAAUUUGCAGAGGAUGCUUCUGGCGCGGUGCCUUCCGAGUUCCCUGGAACGGGACGCCACAGAGGGUGAGAGCCCCGUAUGGUCGGACACCAAGCCUGUGUGAAGCUCCUUCGACGAGUCGAGUAGUUUGGGAAUGCUGCUCUAAAUGGGAGGUAAAUCUCUUCUAAAGCUAAAUACCGGCCAGAGACCGAUAGCGCACAAGUAGAGUGAUCGAAAGAUGAAAAGCACCUUGAAAAGGGGGUUAAAUAGUACGUGAAAUUGUUGAAAGGGAAGCACUUAUGACCAGACUUGGGCCGGGCGGCUCAUCAGGGGUCCUCCCCUGUGCACUCCGCCCGGCACAGGCCAGCAUCGGUUCUCGUGGGGGGAUAAGACCGUCAGGAACGUAGCACCCUCCGGGGUGUGUUAUAGCCUGGCGGACGAUACCCCCGUGGGGACCGAGGUCCGCGCUCCGCAAGGAUGCUGGCGUAAUGGUCAUCAGUGACCCGUCUUGAAACACGGACC
rnacentral:rRNA from 1 species